rnacentral:rRNA from 1 species
CCUACGGGGGGCAGCAGUAGGGAAUCUUUCACAAUGGGCGAAAGCCUGAUGGAGCAACGCCGCGUGCAGGAUGAAGGCCUUCGGGUUGUAAACUGCUUUUAUAAGCGAGAAAUAUGAUGGUAACUUAUGAAUAAGGAUCGGCUAACUACGUGCCAGCAGCCGCGGUCAUACGUAGGAUCCGAGCAUUAUCCGGAGUGACUGGGUGUAAAGAGUUGCGUAGGUGGCAUAAUAAGUAGCUAGUGAAAUCUGGUGGCUCAACCAUUCAGACUAUUAGCUAAACUGUUAAGCUCGAGACCGUUAGGGGUAACGGGAAUUUCUAGUGUAGGAGUGAAAUCCGUAGAUAUUAGAAGGAACACCAAUAGCGUAGGCAGGUUGCUGGGACGGUUCUGACACUAAGGCACGAAAGCGUAGGGAGCAAACGGGAUUAGAUACCCGAGUAGUC